ACGGAAGGCAGCAGUGGGGAAUAUUGCACAAUGGGGGAAACCCUGAUGCAGCGACGCCGCGUGAGUGAAGAAGUAUUUCGGUAUGUAAAGCUCUAUCAGCAGGGAAGAUAAUGACGGUACCUGACUAAGAAGCACCGGCUAAAUACGUGCCAGCAGCCGCGGUAAUACAUAUGGUGCAAGCGUUAUCCGGAUUUACUGGGUGUAAAGGGUGCGUAGGUGGCAUGGCAAGUCUGAAGUGAAAUGCGGGGGCUCAACCCCUGAACUGCUUUGGAAACUGUCAAGCUUGAGUACAGGAGAGGAAAGCGGAAUUCCUAGUGUAGCGGUGAAAUGCGUAGAUAUUAGGAGGAACACCAGUGGCGAAGGCGGCUUUCUGGACUGUAACUGACACUGAGGCACGAAAGCGUGGGGAGCAAACAGGAUUAGAUACCCUGGUA
rnacentral:rRNA from 1 species